UACGAGGGGUGCAAGCGUUGCUCGGAAUUAUUGGGCGUAAAGGGUAGGUAGGUGGUCUCAUUUGUCAGGGGUGAAAGCCUUGGGCUUAACCCAAGAAGUGCCCCUGAAACGGUGAGACUGGAGUCUUGGAGAGGGUCGUGGAAUUCCCGGUGUAGCGGUGAAAUGCGUAGAGAUCGGGAGGAACACCAGAGGCGAAGGCGGCGACCUGGACAAGUACUGACACUCAACUACGAAAGCGUGGGUAGCAAAC
rnacentral:rRNA from 1 species